CCUACGGGUGGCAGCAGUGGGGAAUAUUGGACAAUGGGCGAAAGCCUGAUCCAGCCAUGCCGCGUGUGUGAAGAAGGCCUUCGGGUUGUAAAGCACUUUCAGUGGGGAAGAAAGCCUUGGGGCUAAUACCCUCGAGGAAGGACAUCACCCACAGAAGAAGCACCGGCUAACUCCGUGCCAGCAGCCGCGGUAAUACGGAGGGUGCGAGCGUUAAUCGGAAUUACUGGGCGUAAAGCGCGCGUAGGCGGUCUGAUAAGCCGGUUGUGAAAGCCCCGGGCUCAACCUGGGAACGGCAUCCGGAACUGUCAGGCUAGAGUGCAGGAGGGGAAGGUAGAAUUCCCGGUGUAGCGGUGAAAUGCGUAGAGAUCGGGAGGAAUACCAGUGGCGAAGGCGGCCUUCUGGACUGACACUGACGCUGAGGUGCGAAAGCGUGGGUAGCAAACAGGAUUAGAUACCCGUGUAGUC
rnacentral:rRNA from 1 species